rnacentral:rRNA from 1 species
GGGGAAUAUUGCACAAUGGGCGAAAGCCUGAUGCAGCCAUGCCGCGUGUAUGAAGAAGGCCUUCGGGUUGUAAAGUACUUUCAGCGAGGAGGAAGGCAUUGUGGUUAAUAACCGCAGUGAUUGACGUUACUCGCAGAAGAAGCACAGGCUAACUCCGUGCCAGCAGCCGCGGUAAUACGGAGGGUGCAAGCGUUAAUCGGGAUUACUGGGCGUAAAGCGCACGCAGGCGGUCUGUCAAGUCGGAUGUGAAAUCCCCGGGCUCAACCUGGGAACUGCAUUCGAAACUGGCAGGCUAGAGUCUUGUAGAGGGGGGUAGAAUUCCAGGUGUAGCGGUGAAAUGCGUAGAGAUCUGGAGGAAUACCGGUGGCGAAGGCGGCCCCCUGGACAAAGACUGACGCUCAGGUGCGAAAGCGUGGGGAGCAAAC